GAAUGGCCCUGAAACACAAUGCUGAAGUGCUGUCCAAGGUCCUUUAGGGCAAGACGGUCCAAUAUGCUUCACGGAGAAAAUACAGGAAGCAUUUUAUUGUUGUUAAUAGUAUAAAUCCACCUACUAUCGCUUGGCAAAACUGGGUUCAUUAAUGAAGAUGUUAAAUAAAAUCAGAACAAGCAACAUUCCUGCCAGCAGUUCUGUACAGAGCAAGGCAUGAUGAUUUGGAAAUUUGCUGACCCCUGAAUCACACUGAUGGAAUACUUUUCAACAGUUCAGAAGAAAUGGGAAAAAUUUAAGUGCUCAAGG